UGAAAAAGGAAUUGUUCCUAUUAGUAUGGAAUUUUAUUGGCAGAAAUGAUUAGAAAAGAAGAAAAGGAGGUAGUAAAUCGCCCGUACGAAGCCUAUGCUAAUGAGAAUAUCUUUUUGACAUUUCUGAAACAAAUAAAAAUUGAAAAUAUCAAGAGCAAGCAGAGUUCGGAUUGCGAUACCAGAUGCUUCGAGUCGAAAUUUUCCUUUUUCCCCGUUUCUUAAAAAAGCUGGGACGCAUCUUUGACGCGCGGACUGUCACCAGGAAUACUUGUACCUGCCUGUUACAAUAAUCGAUGUUUUAGUUUAUCGUCUUUUACGAGUUGGCUCUUGAAUUAAGCGUUAUGGGGAAAAAUCAACAACUGUUGUGAGCGUCGAGUACCAACGAGCGAUUUUAAUCUGUUAUCGAAGCUGUUAGCGAGAAGACGGCAACGACGAUUAAUAAUACAUCUUCAAGAACCGUGGACAGCAUUUACUUUUUACAAAUACAUCUCUAGUCCCAUCUGUAUUUGAUCGCGCCUUAUCAAAGAUCAAAAUUUUCCAUUGGAAACGUCGGCUCCGAUUAAUUCAGCUCGUUCCCGGCAGCGAGUAUAACGCGCAUAAAUCACUCGUAAUGGAAGAAGGUGACGACUGGUUGUAAACAACGGAAAGAAAGGGAAGGAGCGAAGGUCGCGAAGAAAAGCGCUUUGAAUCCGCCGGUGGUGAGCCCUUCCGCGCGACUUUCCGCGUGUGUUUUGUAGUACGACUGAUGCGUAGGGCGGAGAGACCUUAUCUAAAAGCCACGAAGAGGUACUAGACGAGGCAAGUACUCUCUCGCCGCUCCCAUUCGUUAAUUCCUUUUCCACCGAUAAUCCACUCGUCGAAGCCCGUGGAGUUUCGGGCGUGCGGCGACUUCGAGAGGUCUACAAACAGCCUUGCUUGCCUCAACGCGUUCUUGCAUUCUCCACUUUCGCGUGUCACCCGCUCGUUUCGCCGUUCCUUUUGUCCUGGCUAAAACCUUGUUACUGUUUUCGCGUUUGACUUCUUUCGAGCAACUUUUGCAUCCGCGGAUCGUGACUCGUGUCGUGAGAUUUGUCGUGAUGAGAUUUUAAUCGAACGAUCGACGCUAUACAGAGAAUGGGAAAUAUAUUAUCCGGAAAAUGUGCAGAACUUCCAGCAAUUCGUAUUGAGCACGUAUCGAUAUCUGCGAUCGUGUUCGAGCCAUAAACGUAUAGGCAACGACAGUGAAAGAUCCGACGAGAUGAAGACGGGAUGAACUGUCGGAGAGAAUUGUUAUUUCAAGGGAACGGCCUGUCCGUCAGUCCGUUUGUCCGUUGCUCCCGCAACGGCGCGGUGUGUAAACAGAGAAAGUUGAACGAGAUAGGGAUAUAACUGGUGUGUACUCGCAGACCACGGAGGAAAGAAAUUCGUGGCGAAUACCGACUCUCGACGAGGAGAGCAACUUUCGUGUCUAUAAAGUUUAGAAACCAAGCCGAGCUUACGAAUAACUGGACAACUCGAUAUCACCUUCGUCGAAAAAAUAAUCUAUCAAAUGGCUGCUUGUACGAAACGAAUGAAAGGAAAGGAGGAACAACUUGUUUAUUUUCGAUGGGUACGACGAAUCCGAUGCGAAAAGGCAGCAGGGCCCGCAGGGGUCCGACCGAGGUUUACUCAACACCGAGAAAGGGGCAGCUUAACUUUAACUUUCGAUUAACUCGUGGUUAACUCUCGUUCAGCCAGAGGGAGUUGGCGCGAAGGAAAAAUCGCAGGAAAAAGGGAUUACAUUUGCGAGGCUUGACUUUAGUCACAGAUGUGUUUCCACCGCAAAGUGCAAGGAACCGCAACGAUGAGCUUGCGAAUACCAGGAUCAAGCAACGUCAAAUUAUGAUUAGGGCUGUUAAUUGUCCCGUGUUGACUCUUCUGAGUGGUGGCCCGUGGGCAAACACGAUUCCCGCCUCCCUUUUGUUGUUUUAACUCAAUACCAUCGGCCGGGGAUGACUUACCGAUUACUAGUCGGAUGUCUGAAAACCUGGGGUCUACGGCCCGGCAAAUAGAAAUGACUUUCCAGUUUCUCUCAAACGAGCCAGUGAACUAAUUCGCGUUCAACGUGAACGAACAAACGUCUCUUCCUCGUUCUUCAACGAUGGAAGGUGAAUACAUGCUUUAAAUUUCUCCAAAAUAUAUAACUUUUGUGUUCACACACUUUGAAUAUUGGAAAGGAUAAUUUUUUUAAUCUCAGAAUACUUUACAGGGAAAGAGAGAGAGAGAGAGAGAGAGAGAGAAAGAGAGAGAGAAUUGUAUCCGAUCAAUUGCAUUUACAAAUGUCUAAACAAUUUAAAGAAGAAGAUUUGAUGAAAUCGCGAGGACCAUUGGACCAGCCUUUUCGCUCGUGAUCGCACUUUUCCGCCCUCUAAUUUCUUCGUCGUUUCACGGCAGGGAUGAUCCAAUAGCCUGGGAAGCGGAUGUUUGCGGUUCAAAAUGUAUGCACCCUCGCAUACCGUCCCGGAGGUGCAGCGAGAUUACAAAAGAACGGGUCCGCGCAGUUCUACAGUACGCGUAGCGCAAAAAGAAAUUGGUGGCGUAUUACGCGACAGGCACGUUCGAGUGUAUUUACAAUACACUCGUAAAGCUGCCUCUUCGUCGCGAUAAUUGACGCAAACACGGCGAAAAACUCAUAAGACGACGGCUGUAUCGCGUAGGUCUGUCCGCAUUGGGAGAACAAUUGUUGCCGAUUAUUUUCAAACAGCUGGAGAGACUGCUUAGAAACACUAGCGGAAUCCUUUCCGUUGCGAUCGAUGCACCAUUUAUGCGAGGUUUCGUCGUACAAGUAGAAACGUAAAAAACAAACAGAGACUUUCGAAACACGUUAAUAUUCCUCUAAAUACCGUAUCAAAAGUUUAAAGAGUUGCAGGGAUUUAUGAAUCUAUCGUCGUUUUGAUGCCAACAAAUGUCACUUAAGAUCUGCCAACUCGGCCGUUACCUUGACCAAAAUCGAUUGGUCGUCGACGCUGCUACCUCAAGUGCUUGUAACCGAUCGCCGACUUUUGCAGUGACCUGUAGGUUCCAUGGGAAGACGAGGAAAAAGAGAGGAACGCAAUUACGCCGGCCACAUGCUGCCGGUGUGCGUGGCGAUGGCGCGGUAUGACGCGGGGGCGGCCGCAAAAGCCGACGACAUAUUCAUGCGUGCGUUAUUAUGCGAGGGAGCCGUGAGUGCACUCGAGAGAUACGCGCACGCGUUCCACGACGUCCAAUUAACCGCACGCAUUUCGUCACCAAAGGAAUUUCACGCGUGGAACGCGCGCAUGCCCGCCUCGAUCCUUCAAGAUCACUUCCGAUAUCUUCGAACAUAGAACCUAAAAAAGGUACGUCUUUGCGGUGAUAUGUUAAGUAAAAGAUCUCCGUUUCUCGACUACGUAGCUCGUAAAUAUCUGCUGGAAAUCUCAACAAGUCUAGACUAGUCAUCUAAUUCGAGCAACGUCUUUGAAAUAAAAGAGGAACUUUAAUCGUCACGAACAACGAUAUUAAAUAGUUUUUAAUGGAAAUCGCAGGCCAGACACAUUAGCUGUUUUCUUGUUAAUUAAUUUCUUGUGGCAAGAUGCAGGGUCGACGCAGCGAUCCUAGCACGUAAACAGCUUUACUCGCGGUUGUCGAAAACUUUCGUGGCGAGAAAAUUUUCACGGCUGACACUUUUCCACGGGUGUUUCGUCCAGUCGACGAUCCGUUUCCCGUCUUUGGGACGACGCUGUCCCUCUCUCUCUCUCUCUCUCCCCCUCACUCUCUUCUUCCUCUUCGUCGCAUCAUCCCCUACUCCCCAUGUCUCCUUGGCGCGGGACACACAGAUGCGUCCCUCCAUUUUGCGCUCGCAUUGUUACUCCAAGUGCAGUCUCCCCAUUGUUACAAUGGCUGGCCACUCCUGGCAUUGUUGCCGGUAUUGUUAUUAUUAUCACUACUGUUACCGGUUGCGGCCGACCGGCGAAUGGAGAAGAGGAGAGCCAGCUGCUUCGUCGAGUGCCGCAUUAGAGGCAAAUUACACUCCCUCUGGCCCGCCUUCCUCUCUCUUUUUCUCUUUUUCACUAUGUCCCUCCAGGCUGGUUAUCUCGUUCUUUCUCAGUUACAUUCUGGAUUUCACCCCUUUUUCAAGCUCGAAAUUUCGAAUGGUCGAUCGGUAUCGGAUUCGAACGAAAGAUGCCUACCGAAUGCUAUCAACCUCUCUCGAACAUAUUUCAUACAACGACAUUCUCUUCUAGCAUUUAUUAUCAAUCUUUUAGCUUCUUCGACGCUCGCCUAAAACUCCUAAGCUUUUUAGGAUCGCUUUGCCAAAUGAAAUAGCGCAUUGUUAUGUCCUCGCGGUUACAUAAUUCAAGAAUCGAGACCGCGUGAACUCGAUACGUGCGAUAAUGCUCUUUAGAGCAGCCUGCGACAAUUUCUCGGUCAAACCACCCGUCAUAUCCUAUCCGAUGAUCGCGGAGCAAGAAGGCAGUGCGGAAAACGGGAACGAAGAAAAACGGCACGAGAAACCGACGUCAUCCAGGAUGCAUAAUUAAUCGGUCGCUACGUGGACGAAUUAAACGAGCAAUUCGAAGCACGAAAUUGAUCGCAACAAUUUAAUCGCGAGAGGCCGCGCAACGGGUCUCCGCAAAUUAUGCCCGGUGAGUUACAACGAGUUUAAAGCUCGUUAAAACGCGAAAGACCGACCUGUGCGGGAGAGAGAAGUUAAUUAGAAGGAAGUAAAAAAAGGAAAGAGAAAGGAAAAAGAAAAAAUGAAACGUGAUGGAAAUGAAGGAGAGAGGGAGAGAGGGAGAGAGAGAGAGAGAGAGAGAAGAAGAGAAUUUAUAUCAAGGGGAAUUUAGACGGCCUGCCGCGCGGCUGGCGAGCAUGGUGAAAGAGGGAGACAUUAAUUAAAGUGCAAAAAACGUGCGGCGAGUCUGAUCAAAAGUUAAAUAAUUAAUAGAAACCGCGAAGUUCAGGCGAGAUCGCGGAUUAAUGAAAAAUCACCGAAGUGCGGAAUUCGCGAGUCUCGAAACCGGUGGACGAAACAAUCGCCGCUCGCCUUCCAUUGUUUCCUCUUGAACAAUGACGAUUGACGUUAUUGUUAGCGCCAGCCAGAUCGUCCACUGGCUCCUUCUGCUACGGCUUUCGACCGGCGAAUGAAACGUUUCGAACGUCGCGUCGCGUCGCGUCGAAUACCGGGACGAUCGAGUUAAGGUGCUUCGACGUAAACAUCCAACUUGAAAAUGGGAUUUUGGCUGCUAGAGCAUUUCCAUCGCGGUGAAUUUGCGUUUAUCGUUUUAGAGUUGAUCCAUUGGUAAAAAAGGACUUUGCAAAGUAAAUGGAUACUUUGAAAGUAAAGCAAAUGCGAGCUCGCGAAACGGUUAUAUUCGAGGAGCGUUCGAUGUUCUUAAAAAUAAACUAACGAAAAAGUUUAAAAGCACCAUCGCGAAAUCCUCUCAAAAGAUUAAAAGAGAAAGAGUAUUUUUAUUACUCGAGAUUUUGGUCCUUUUUCGCAAAGAUUCUAUUUAUAUUUUAGUCACGGAAGAAAGGAAAUUUGACGAGAAGGCUGCUUCGCAAAUAUUGUUCCACCUUCGAGCAACCCUGUAUAAACGUUUUGCAUGCUGUGUAUAGAUUAGAAAGGAAUAUUAGAUGGUUCUAUAUGCACAUGCAAGGGGCGGAUCUGGCCAAGCUCGCUAUAAAUUUGCUCGUCCAUCGAAGGAGCCUUUAAUACUGUUUACGGAUAGCUCAAGCUUUUAAGGUAUUUUAUCUUGUCCUUACGUAAAUUGUCCCUUAUCUGACGACAUAAAAGUCGACUAGCACGGUAAAUUUAAUGUUCGAAUUUCAGGAUCAAUUGGAUCGAAUGUUUUCUGUCCAAAUAUUACGCAAUUGCAACGUGGAGAGACUAUCGAUAGCCGAAUAUCCACGUUCUAGACAGACAUCGAUGUUUCAUCGUCGGAAGAAACAAUAGGUUCGGUCGAAAUAAUGGAAUAUUAUUCUAUCGUAAGAAAUUACAGUUGGAAAGAAAAAAGCGUGUAAUGCAUCUUUCCUACGGCAGUAAGAUACACAAAGAUGAACAAAGAUACGAGGACGGGGAUUUUUCAGCAAAGAAGAUUUCUCGUCGGAAAAGCGCUUGCCCGGAAAAAAAAAGGAAGACGAGGGUGGAAAGAAGAAGGGGUAGGUACGAACGAACCGUGACAACUUAGCGCACGAGCCUUGCGAUUCAACCACGGAGAUAAUCGUAAUAAUGGGUUUGCCUACCACCGAAUCUACCCUCUUCGACUUUACACAGCAACCCCAAUAGGAGGAGCACCGAAGAGGACUAUGCGAGUUCAAUGUCGUGCAAACACGCGAAACGCCUCGGCGAUUCCUCGGCGAAAUGAUCGACAGGAUCGCGGAUCUUCUCUUUUCACGCGUGACACCACCUCUUUAAACGCCGUUUCUUGGGUCUCGUGGAUAACGUUCGAUAUUCCGGAACCGAUCGCACUUGAACGUAGAAACGACGAAACGAGUAAAUUUAUUUCAGCUGAAGCGACGUAAUAUUCCCGGAGAACUGCUACGGUUAUGGAAAAAGGAGAAGAUGAUCGCUAUUUUUGGCGGAAAAAUCGAAAGGCAGCGAGAAAUCUAAGCUAUGUUUUUCGGUUAAGAUUCGCGAAGAAAUCGUAAACCAAAAUGGUGACGGAAACAACGGACGCAACAACGAGAGAAUGAUCGAGAUUCUCUAUCGUUGUGUUCCUCAUCGGGAUCCAUCGUCAUCGAGCUGAACGAGCAGAAAGGAAUCGGUGCUUCUCGUCGUCGUUCGUCGAGUGCUCGUCUCGUUACUCGAAACGGGGUCGAUUUUGCGUGACGUUCUCCCGGAAACGAUCGAUGCGGCACUUUGGCCCGUCGAUCGGGCAAACGACAGGCGGAAAAUUCCUUUUUUUUUUUCUUUUCUGCUUGCUUCUCCUUCCUUCUUCCUAUUUUUUUUUUUUCUUUUUUUUUUUUGGCAUCUCUCGAUUCUUCGCAAGCUCUCGAAAGUGUGCUCGCGUCGAACUCGUGGCUCGAGUGUCUUGAAGAGCGCAGAUCGGUAUAUCUUCUUUUCGUUCGUUACGUCGUUCGACUCGUUAAUUCAGUAUCGAUUCUCGAUCGCGUCCCAAAGAAUCUUCCUCGAGGACCGUCGAGUCCGCAAUAGCCUUUUCUCGCGAUGAAAAAAUCUCCGUCUGUCUUCUCAUUUAGCUCGACUACCUCGAACGUAACUUGGAAGCUUUCACGGAUUUUCAGCUGUCUUUAAACGUCGCAGUUCGCUUGCAAAAAUUAUCUCGAUCCAAGGAAACAGAUUUAUCCGUAGAUUAAUCGAGCAUCGAGUAUCGGAAAUUUUGAUUCGAGGAUUUUGUAGAUGGUUUUCGAAUGGAAGAAAGUAAACACGCGAUAAGAAAGAUCUUCACGAACGGAACCCGUGAUACCGAAUUUUCCUCGGUAGAUACAUUUUUCGCGUAUGACGCGAAGCUGUAUUUCUGUAAUAUGUUUUCAAAACGAGCAGGUAACCCGAAUGUCGUCAAUCUCCUUUCAGAACGGAGUAGAACGUAAUCUCGGAGUUUGUACAGCACUUCAAAGAAGCGAUAGACAUCGUACGUGGUUCCGUAUGAAACUUAUCCAAAAAAUUCCUCAUAGAAUCUUUCGAAGAGAAAGAAGAAGAAGAAGAAGAAGAAGAAGAAGAAGAAGAAGAAGAACAAACAACAGAACUCAGACGAUCGGAACAACAAUUACCGAUAAUAUUCGAGCACCACACGAGUCUCCGCUUCGCAGAAACGCUUCUCCCGCUCGUAGCAACGCGACCAUGCUCCACUUCUUCCGACCUUUCCUCGUGUAAUAUCGCUUUCGAGACGGCGCGAGGGCACGUAAGAUUCACAGAGCUCUCACAUAAUGAUUCGUUAGUCUCCCCGUGCAGCCAUCGUGGGCUACCUACGGAGAGCACGACUUCGUACGUAGACUUCGAGUGGCCGUAAGUGGAUGGUACCGCAGGGUGGCGGCGCAGAUACACACACACACACACACACACACGAUACAUCUACACGUAUAUACGACAAACCGGGAGCUCGUUUGGUCUCUAUUUGUCCCCAGAAGUUCAAGAGUCCGCUAUAUAUAUACAUAUAGGUGCGCAUACACGUAAGAAUAUAUACAGGUAUACACGCGUACACACGCGUACAUAUAUAAAACCAUCAACUCCCAGUCGCGUUUCGUAUCUCUUUCUCUGCUUCGCUAUCUCUCCUUCGAACGUCUCUUUCCGCGUCCCGUUUCCGAGGCUGGCCUUCAUGGCCGGCAUUCACGGCUCGGGCGAGAUCCGAGUACCAUCGAGUCCGAAACUCGUUAUCGAAACUUAGGUGCGCGCGAGCGCAAAACAGCGGACUCGCCCCUGGCGAAAGCACGCGAAAAUCCGCGGCUGAUUGCAAUCAGCCCUCUUUGCGAACUUCCGCGCUCGAUUCCGCGUAGAUCUCGCCGAGUCACGGACUCGGGGGAGCCCCGACGACUUCCGGUUUAGGGAGCAACGCGCGAGCGCACACCUUCCGCUCGGCAUAGGUUGCGUUCAAAGUCUCGUUUCCAUUCUCUUCUUGGAGUUAGCGAAAAGAAUGGAUAGAGCUUGAGGUUGACGACGAUGAUGAUAACGAUGACGACGAUAGCGACGACGCCCACGGUGACGACGAUGAGUUGUUAAAGAAAAGGGAGGAGAGAAGAACGAGGAGACGAAGUAGUUUUUGUAGAACAAAGUCCCUUUAGACUCUAGAGAACGAAGCUUGUCUCGAGCAUUUUACGAAAGAACGUGGGUACUACGUCGAUGCUAUAUGCUACGAUGGAACGCUAUGUUGAUACGAUACUCGACAACCUGAUAUUUGCUAUAUCGUAUCGACUGAGAAAAUGGUCGAAAGUACUGGAUGAACGACAAGCGGAUUGAACGGAGAGACGCGCGGUAGACAAAACGGCAGACUGAACGAGGGGACGAGCGACCAGGAUGCAACCAAUGAGCUGCGCAACAAUUAUUUAUCGUUGCCAGACUGCCGCAUCGUGCCGAGCAGACCUGUCUGCCCAAUGAAGAUUGCUCGUUAAAAUCUGAUUCUGGCGGACCGCUUUAAAUGGCGACCGCCGAAACGAUUCGCUCGAGCCGACCGAAUCGGCCCCUGUACGAACGAAACCACAGCAACAUUGGUCUAAUUAAACACAUUAAAAUGUAUAUAUAUAUGUCGGAGCGGACAUUAGAAUUAGGGUUAGGGGCGUGAAACGAAUCUUCGUUUGGGUUACACGUUGUCGUUAUGCAAUAGAGAAGACAUUGACUAGUGCAAAUACGAUUAUUAUAGAACCGGACAAGUAACCGCGGUAGUUGGGUACUCGAGAAACUAAUGACAAUGAUCCUAGGUUCAAUAACGAAUCCGUGGUCGACGGGAUGAUAGACGAACGUACUCGCAAAAUCUAAGUCGGACGCGUGAUAUUCACUGGUCGUAAAGAGUUACUCCUUUCAUCAAUGAGAUCGCGAGCGAGAGUGCCUUUCCCGUCCCGAUGAUGCCACAGAGGAAAACUAUAACGGGGUGUAUCUAAGGAUACGAGAUCAUCGGAUUCGUCGAGAAAAGCCUUCGUUCAGAAAGUAAGGGAAAUUGACGUUGCUGCUAAUUGGUCAAUCUCCAUAUCGGUGGUUAGAAAAAGAUGCUAGCCGCCCUCGAGGGAAAGUUGUUAGUGGGAGACGCCGCUCGUUGAAAAAUAUGUCUCCCCUAUCUUCCCGUAGUUGGGACAAAGACCGUUUGUCCGUUUGAAGGACUUUAGUUAACUAAACCUUAAGAUUUAUAACGGGCCCUCGGGGUAGCCGAACAUGUACUGCGGAGACGCAUCGACAUCUGGCAAUCAUCUUACUCGAAGAAUAGGAUCUGCGCGUGGCGAGCCACGGGACAGAAACCGUUGGAACGUUUACUGUCGCGUGUCGCCACGAAUAUUUCCUUUAAGGAGAGCUAUAGAAUUACUCCAUACCUUUGCUAGGCAAAGCGUUCAUCCCGUGACCGCGGCUACGUUCGGCGACUGACUGUCGCCUCGAGCCCAAGCUCAUUAUCACGACUCUCGAACAAUUACAAUCGGAUUGAAUAACUACAAUUGUUCAAUUACAGCUAUAGUAGACUCUAGGUUACAAUGUUGCGGGAUUAUCCAAAAUUCCAAAGGCUCCGGUGUUCUUUCAUCUCCGACAUA